rnacentral:misc_RNA from 1 species
UGUGGGAGCGGGCUUGCUCGCGAAGGCAGUGUGUCAGUUAACGUUGAUGUCGACUGAUAUACCGCCUUCGCGAGCAAGCCCGCUCCCACA